UGUGCCUAAUACAUGCAAGUCGAACGCGUUGGCCCAAUUGAUUGAUGGUGCUUGCACCUGAUUGAUUUUGGUCGCCAACGAGUGGCGGACGGGUGAGUAACACGUAGGUAACCUGCCCAGAAGCGGGGGACAACAUUUGGAAACAGAUGCUAAUACCGCAUAACAGCGUUGUUCGCAUGAACAACGCUUAAAAGAUGGCUUCUCGCUAUCACUUCUGGAUGGACCUGCGGUGCAUUAGCUUGUUGGUGGGGUAACGGCCUACCAAGGCGAUGAUGCAUAGCCGAGUUGAGAGACUGAUCGGCCACAAUGGGACUGAGACACGGCCCAUACUCCUACGGGAGGCAGCAGUAGGGAAUCUUCCACAAUGGGCGCAAGCCUGAUGGAGCAACACCGCGUGAGUGAAGAAGGUGUCUGCGGCUCGUAAAGCUCUGUUGUUAAAGAAGAACACGUAUGAGAGUAACUGUUCAUACGUUGACGGUAUUUAACCAGAAAGUCACGGCUAACUACGUGCCAGCAGCCGCGGUAAUACGUAGGUGGCAAGCGUUAUCCGGAUUUAUUGGGCGUAAAGAGAGUGCAGGCGGUUUUCUAAGUCUGAUGUGA
rnacentral:rRNA from 2 species